GUCCCAGCGCACAGCACGACGUCGAGGGCCUAGUGACGCAGCUGCUGUUGGAGGAAGCGCGGCUGCAGAGCUCAGCACAGGAGCUGACGCGGUUCUGUACGGAUGCGAGCAGGGAGCAUCGCGCGCGCAAGGGAGAGCUGGAGAUGGCCGGCGGCCGUCGCGUAGGAAGCUAGACGCCGAGCGCCAUGGAACUUCGCGGCAGGAAGCAGAGAAGGGAGCUCGACGCGAGCUGGAGCCGGAAACCGAGCAGGGAGGCAGAGACCUUCACGGCGCGGUGCAGGGAGGUGGAACGAGCGGCCGCCAUGGGAGGGAGCCGUCCGUGGGAGCAGAGCAGAGGAUUUGCUGCGCAAAGAAGAAGAACGCACGGCUGGAGAUAAAGAUUGCUAAGCGCUGAAAAUAUCCAGGGAGCAGAUGAUUUGCUGCUGCGCGGGGAGCUUCAGGGAGGAACUUGACGGCGGCCAUGGCAGAGAAGGAGCUCGACGGAAAUGAGCGCACCAGCCACGGUGAGCAGAGGCUGCGCGCGACGGGAUUUUAUCCCCGAGCUAAAGCAGCACGGCGUGGAAGAAGCAAGGGCAGAGGAGCAGGGAGAAGGAACGGCUGUAGCCCGCGGCCCUGGGCUGGGGAGCUGCAGGCCGGAACCAGAGUACGACGAGCUAUUUGAAGAAUCCCAGAAGCGGCGGCGGCAGAUAAGAACGGCCAGGGAUGAGGCCGACGGUCAACACAGUGAAAGAAAAUCCGAGAACGUGAGCGGUGGAAGGGAUAGGCUCGAGAGGAUAUUUUCAGUUUUUUUUUAUUUCUUUUCUUUUAUUUUUAGAAAUUUGCAGAUAUUUUUAGAACCCAGAAUUUUUAGCGAUAGCAAAAGAGUCGACAGUAAUUGCGACAGUUGAUUCGAUUCAAAAAUCUGAUAAAUUUACCUGCGGUCUAAACAUCUGGUUCCACA
rnacentral:misc_RNA from 1 species